rnacentral:rRNA from 1 species
CCUACGGGAGGCAGCAGUAGGGAAUCUUUCACAAUGGGCGAAAGCCUGAUGGAGCAACGCCGCGUGCAGGAUGAAGGCCUUCGGGUUGUAAACUGCUUUUAUAAGCGAGAAAUAUGAUGGUAAUUUAUGAAUAAGGAUCGGCUAACUACGUGCCAGCAGCCGCGGUCAUACGUAGGAUCCGAGCAUUAUCCGGAGUGACUGGGUGUAAAGAGUUGCGUAGGUGGCGCGUUAAGCCUGGGGUGGAAGCCCGCGGCCCAACCGCGGGGCUGCAUUGGGAACUGGCGCGCUGGAGUGCCGGAGGGGUAGGCGGAAUUCCUAGUGUAGCGGUGAAAUGCGUAGAUAUUAGGGGGAACACCAGUGGCGAAGGCGGCCUACGGGACGGUGACUGACGCUGAGGCUCGAAAGCGUGGGGAGCAAACAGGAUUAGAUACCCCUGUAGUC